CGGGGUUUGGCGCAGUUGGUAGCGCGCGCGCUUUGGGAGCGCGAGGUCAGCAGUUCGAGCCUGCUAACCCCGACCA
rnacentral:tRNA from 3 species